CCUACGGGAGGCAGCAGUGGGGAAUAUUGGGCAAUGGAGGCAACUCUGACCCAGCAAUGCCGCGUGAGUGAUGAAGGUAAUUUUAUUGUACAGCUCUUUUCUUUGGAACGAAUAAAUGACGGUACCAAAGGAAUAAGCCCCGGCUAACUACGUGACAGCAGCCGCGGUAAUACGUAGGGGGCAAGCGUUGUUCGGAAUGACUGGGCGUAAAGGGUGUGUAGGUGGUUUGAUAAGUUAGAUGUGUAAUACCCAGGGCUUAACUCGGGUGCUGCAUCUAAAACUGUCGGACUUGAGUGCAGGAGGGGCAAAUGGAAUUCCUAGUGUAGCGGUGGAAUGCGUAGAUAUUAGGAGGAACACCAGUGGCGAAGGCGAUUUGCUGGACUGUAACUGACACUGAGGCACGAAAGCGUGGGGAGCAAACAGGAUUAGAUACCCCGGUAGUC
rnacentral:rRNA from 1 species